rnacentral:rRNA from 1 species
GACGAACGCUGGCGGCGUGCUUAACACAUGCAAGUCGAACGGAAAGGCCUGCUUUCCCUUGUGGAUUGCGGGUACUCGAGUGGCGAACGGGUGAGUAACACGUGAGUGAUCUGCCCCCAACUUGGGUAUAAGCCUGGGAAACUGGGUCUAAUUCCCGAUAGGACUGCAGGGUGGUGCCUGUGGUGGAAGACGAUUUUCUAGUGGUUGGGGAUGAGCUCGCGGCCUAUCAGCUUGUUGGUGGGGUAAUGGCCUACCAAGGCGGCGACGGGUAGCCGGCCUGGGAGGGUGGACGGCCACAUUGGGACUGAGAUACGGCCCAGACUCCUACGGGAGGCAGCAGUGGGGAAUAUUGCACAAUGGGCGGAAGCCUGAUGCAGCGACGCCGCGUGGGGGAUGACGGCCUUCGGGUCGUAAACUCCUUUCGACCGCGAGGAAGCCACCUGGUUGGAAGGGUGGUGACGGUAGUGGUAGAAGAAGCACCGGCUAACUACGUG